rnacentral:lncRNA from 1 species
UCAAUUCCUUUCCAACCAUGCCAGUGAUAGAAACACUUGGUGGUGCUCUUUUUGGUGCUGUUCUUCAGCAGCUGUUUGACAGGCUUGAUUCUCGUCAAGUUUUGGACUACUUUCGUGGAAGGAAGCUCAAUGAGAAGCUGCUGUACAAGUUGAAGGUGAAGCUGUUGUCCAUCAAUAAUGUGAUAGAUGAUGCAGAACAAAAGCAGUUCAUUAAUUCAUAUGUGAAAGCAUGGCUUGAUGAAGUCAAAGAUGCUGUCUUUGAUGCAGAGGAUCUGCUGGAUGAAAUAGACUAUGAGUUUUACAAACGCAAGUUGAAAGCUGAAUCUCACACCAGCAGUAAAAAGGUAUGGAAUUUCUUCAAGGCUUCUCCCAAAAGUUUCUUUGACAAGAAAAUUGAGUCAAGGAUGGAACAAGUCCUUGAGCAACUAGAAUUUCUUUCAAGCCAAAAGGGUGAUCUUGGUUUGAAAUAUGUUAGUUGUGCUGAUGUUGGGUCAGAAUUAGUUAGUAAAGUAGCACAGAAGCUUCCAUCAACAUCUUUGGUGGUUGAAAGUGUUAUUUAUGGCAGAGAGGAUGAAAAGGAAAUGAUUCUUAAUUGGCUGAGUUCUGACACUGACAAACAUAACCAGGUAACAGUGCUUUCUAUUGUAGCUAUGGGUGGGAUGGGUAAGACUACACUUGCCCAACAUGUUUAUAACAAUCCAAGGAUUGAGGAGGCUAAAUUUGAGCUCAAAGCCUGGGUCUGUGUUUCGGAUGAAUACAAUGCUUUCAAGGUAACCAGAGAAAUUCUUGAGGCAAUCAAUAAUUCAAAUGAUGAUAGCAGAAACCUAGAAAUGGUUCAGGGACGAUUGAAAGAAAAACUGACAGGAAGGAAGUUUCUCCUCGUUCUGGAUGAUGUUUGGAAUGAAGAUCGAGACCAAUGGAAAUCAUUGCAAACUCCUCUUAAAUAUGGAGCUAAGGGAAGUAAAAUUCUUGUCACCACACGCAGUAACAAAGUUGCUACUACUAUGCAGUCACAUAAAGUACAUGAAUUAAAGCAGUUGGAAGAAGAUCAUAGUUGGCAAGUUUUUGCUGAACAUGCAUUUCAAGAUAAUAAUCAUCAAUUGAAUGCUGAAGUGGAGAAAAUUGGUAAGAAGAUAGUCGAAAAGUGCAAAGGAUUGCCUCUGGCCUUGGAAACAAUUGGAUGUCUAUUACACACAAAGUCAUCUGUUUCAGAGUGGCAGAGUGUAUUGGUAAGCAAAAUAUGGGACUUACCCAAAGAAGAUAGUAAAAUCAUCCCUGCUCUAUUAUUGAGCUAUUACCAUCUUCCUUCGCAUCUCAAGAGGUGUUUUGCUUAUUGUGCCUUAUUCCCUAAAGAUCAGGAGUUUGACAAGGAGAGUUUAAUUUUGUUAUGGAUGGCUGAAAAUUUUCUACAAUGCUCUCAACAAAGUAAGAGUCCAGAAGUAGUUGGUGAACUGUAUUUUGAUGAUCUAUUUUCAAGGUCUUUCUUUCAAAAAUCAAUUAAAGACAACAAAACAUGUUUUGUCAUGCACGACCUUCUCAACGAUCUGGCUAAAUAUAUUUGUGGGGACAUAUGUUUCAGGCUUGGAGUUGAUGAAGAAAAGACAACAGUAAAAAUCCGCCACUUAGCAUUGGUAACUAAUGAAGAUCAAUAUUCAGAUGGAUUUAGGAGUUUGUGUAAUGCUAAAAGGCUACGUACAUUUAUGCCAACAAGUAGGAGAAUGAACAUUGAUUAUUAUUGGGAUUGCAAGAUGCAGAUGGAUGAAUUGCUAUCAAAGUUUGAGUUCUUACGCGUCUUAUCUUUGUCUUGCUGUCGUGGCCUUAAAGAGGUGCCUGGUUUGGUAGGUGAUCUUAAGCAUCUCC